rnacentral:rRNA from 1 species
GACGAACCGUGCGAACGUUGUUCGGAAUCACUGGGCUUAAAGGGCGCGUAGGCGGGCCACCAAGUCUGUGGUGAAAUCCCCCGGCUCAACCGGGGAACGGCCGUGGAUACUGGGGGCCUCGAGGGAGAUAGGGGCAGGCGGAACUGAUGGUGGAGCGGUGAAAUGCGUUGAUAUCAUCAGGAACUCCGGUGGCGAAGGCGGCCUGCUGGAUCUCAUCUGACGCUGAGGCGCGAAAGCCAGGGGAGCAAACGGG